rnacentral:rRNA from 1 species
GAUGAACGCUGGCGGCGUGCCUAAUACAUGCAAGUCGAGCGAACGGACGAGAAGCUUGCUUCUCUGAUGUUAGCGGCGGACGGGUGAGUAACACGUGGAUAACCUACCUAUAAGACUGGGAUAACUUCGGGAAACCGGAGCUAAUACCGGAUAAUAUUUUGAACCGCAUGGUUCAAAAGUGAAAGACGGUCUUGCUGUCACUUAUAGAUGGAUCCGCGCUGCAUUAGCUAGUUGGUAAGGUAACGGCUUACCAAGGCAACGAUGCAUAGCCGACCUGAGAGGGUGAUCGGCCGCCCUGGAACUGGGCCACGGUCCAGGCUCCUACGGGAGGCAGCAGUAGGGAAUCUUCCGCAAUGGGCGAAAGCCUGGCGGAGCAACGCCGCGUGAGUGAUGAAGGUCUUCGGAUCGUAAAACUCUGUUAUUAGGGAAGAACAUAUGUGUAAGUAACUGUGCACAUCUUGACGGUACCUAAUCAGAAAGCCACGGCUAACUACGUG